rnacentral:rRNA from 1 species
UACGGGGGGGGCAAGCGUUGUUCGGAAUUACUGGGCGUAAAGGGCGCGUAGGCGGCCUUCUAAGUCGGACGUGAAAUCCCUCGGCUUAACCGAGGAACUGCGUCUGAUACUGGAAGGCUUGAAUCCGGGAGAGGGAUGUGGAAUUCCAGGUGUAGCGGUGAAAUGCGUAGAUAUCUGGAGGAACACCGGUGGCGAAGGCGGCAUCCUGGACCGAUAUUGACGCUGAGGCGCGAAAGCCAGGGGAGCAAACGGG